UGAGGAAUAUUGGUCAAUGGCCGAGAGGCUGAACCAGCCAAGUCGCGUGAGGGAUGAAGGUUCUAUGGAUCGUAAACCUCUUUUAUAAGGGAAUAAAGUGACCCACGUGUGGGUUUUUGUAUGUACCUUAUGAAUAAGGAUCGGCUAACUCCGUGCCAGCAGCCGCGGUAAUACGGAGGAUCCGAGCGUUAUCCGGAUUUAUUGGGUUUAAAGGGUGCGUAGGCGGCCUUUUAAGUCAGCGGUGAAAGUCUGUGGCUCAACCAUAGAAUUGCCGUUGAAACUGGGGGGCUUGAGUAUGUUUGAGGCAGGCGGAAUGCGUGGUGUAGCGGUGAAAUGCUUAGAUAUCGCGCAGAGCUCCGAUUGCGAAGGCAGCCUACCGGCUCCAGACUGACGCUGAGGCACGAAAGCGUGGGUAUCGAACAGGAUUAGAUACCC
rnacentral:rRNA from 1 species